UACGUAGGUGGCAAGCGUUGUCCGGAAUUAUUGGGCGUAAAGCGCGCGCGGGUGGUUUAAUAAGUCUGAUGUGAAAGCCCACGGCUCAACCGUGGAGGGUCAUUGGAAACUGGAAAACUUGAGUGCAGAAGAGGAAAGUGGAAUUCCAUGUGUAGCGGUGAAAUGCGCAGAGAUAUGGAGGAACACCAGUGGCGAAGGCGACUCUCUGGUCUGUAACUGACGCUGAGGCUCGAAAGCGUGGGUAGCAAACAGG
rnacentral:rRNA from 1 species